UGGCGACCGGCGCACGGGUGCGUAACGCGUAUGCAACCUACCUUUAACAGGGGGAUAACACUGAGAAACUGGUACUAAUACCCCAUAAUAUCAUAGAAGGCAUCUUUUAUGGUUGAAAAUUCCGAUGGUUAGAGAUGGGCAUGCGUUGUAUUAGCUAGUUGGUGGGGUAACGGCUCACCAAGGCGACGAUACAUAGGGGGACUGAGAGGUUAACCCCCCACACUGGUACUGAGACACGGACCAG
rnacentral:rRNA from 1 species